UUAAGUUCAGCGGGUAUUCCUACCUGAUCCGAGGUCAAACCUGAAAAGUUGGGGUUUUACGGCAGGGGCUAGAGCAACUACAGAAACGAGAAUAAAUUACUACGCUUAGAGAUUGCUAAAACUCCGCCAAUAACUUUGAGGAGCUGCCUUUUACAGCAGGCUCCCAACGCUAAGCAACAGGGCUUAAGGGUUUGAAAUGA
rnacentral:misc_RNA from 1 species